GUCGUCAGCUCGUGUCGUGAGAUGUUGGGUUAAGUCUCGCAACGAGCGCAACCCCUAUCCUUAGUUGCCAGCAUUAAGUUGGGCACUCUAGGGAGACUGCCCGGGCUAACCGGGAGGAAGGUGGGGAUGACGUCAAGUCCUCAUGGCCCUUAUGUCCAGGGCUACACACGUAAUACAAUGGUCGGUACAAAGGGAAGCGAACUCGCGAGGGGGAGCAAAUCUCAAAAAGCCGAUCUCAGUCCGGAUUGGAGUCUGCAACUCGACUCCAUGAAGUUGGAAUCGCUAGUAAUCGCGGAUCAGCACGCCGCGUGGAAUACGUUCCCGGGCCUUGUACACACCGCCCGUCACACCA
rnacentral:rRNA from 1 species